rnacentral:rRNA from 1 species
AACGGGUGAGUAACACGUGAGAAACCUGCCCCGAAGUCUGGGAUAACCCGAGGAAACUCGGGCUAAUACCGGAUGUCUUCUCUGAUCGCAUGGUCGGAUGAAGAAAGAUUUAUCGCUUCGGGAGGGUCUCGCGGCCUAUCAGCUAGUUGGCGGGGUAACGGCCCACCAAGGCGUCGACGGGUAGCUGGUCUGAGAGGACGAUCAGCCACACUGGGACUGAGACACGGCCCAGACUCCUACGGGAGGCAGCAGUGGGGAAUAUUGCGCAAUGGGCGAAAGCCUGACGCAGCAACGCCGCGUGCGGGAUGAAGGCCUUCGGGUUGUAAACCGCUUUCAGUGGGGACGAAUUCAGACGGUACCCACAGAAGAAGCCCCGGCCAACUACGUG